UCAGGUGUGAUUACCCGCUGAACUUAAGCAUAUCAGUAAGCGAGA
rnacentral:rRNA from 1 species